rnacentral:rRNA from 1 species
UUUCGAAUCAUUCACAAUGGGCGAAAGCCUGAUGGUGCGACGCCGCGUGAGGGAUGAAGGCCUUCGGGUUGUAAACCUCUGUCACCAGGGAAGAAAAACUAGCCGUUAACAGCGUCUAGUCUGACUUAACCUGGAGAGGAAGCAGUGGCUAACUCUGUGCCAGCAGCCGCGGUAAUACAGAGACUGCAAGCGUUAUUCGGAUUCACUGGGCGUAAAGGGUGCGCAGGCGGCCGUGUGUGUUAGGUGUGAAAGCCCGAGGCUCAACCUCGGAAUUGCGCCUAAAACUACACGGCUAGAGUAUUGGAGAGGGUAGCGGAAUUCACGGUGUAGCAGUGAAAUGCGUAGAUAUCGUGAGGAACACCAGAGGCGAAGGCGGCUACCUGGACAAUUACUGACGCUCAGGCACGAAAGCGUGGGGAGCAAAAG